rnacentral:rRNA from 1 species
GACGAACGCUGGCGGCGUGCUUAACACAUGCAAGCCGAGCGGAGCGGCGGACGGGUGAGUAAUACCUAGGAAUCUGCCUGGUAGUGGGGGAUAACGUUCGGAAACGGACGCUAAUACCGCAUACUAUCAGAUGGGCAUAGGUCGGAUUAGCUAGUUGGUGAGGUAAUGGCUCACCAAGGCUACGAUCCUUAACUGGUCUGAGAGGAUGAUCAGUCACACUGGAACUGAGACACGUUCCAGACCCCUACGGGAGGCAGCAGUGGGGAAUAUUGGACAAUGGGCGAAAGCCUGGUCCAGCCAUGCCGCGUGUAUGAAGAAGGCCGUCGGGUUGGAAAUUACUUUCAGCGGGGAGGCGUUACCCGCAGAAGAAGCACCGGCUAACUCCGUGCCAGCAGCCGCGGUAAUAC